GACGAACGCUGGCGGCGUGCUUAACACAUGCAAGUCGAACGAUGAACCCGGAGCUUGCUCCGGCGGAUUAGUGGCGAACGGGUGAGUAACACGUGAGUAACCUGCCCUUGACUCUGGGAUAACUGCGGGAAAACUGUAGCUAAUCCCCGAUACGACCCUCGCCGGCAUCCCCAGGGGGUGGAAAGAAAUUCGGUCAAGGAUGGACUCGCGGCCUAUCAGCUCGUUGGUGAGGUAACGGCUCACCAAGGCGCCGACGGGUAGCCGGCCUGAGAGGGUGACCGGCCACACUGGGACUGAGACACGGCCCAGACUCCUACGGGAGGCAGCAGUGGGGAAUAUUGCACAAUGGGCGCAAGCCUGAUGCAGCAACGCCGCGUGAGGGAUGACGGCCUUCGGGUUGUAAACCUCUUUUAGUAGGGAAGAAGCGAAAGUGACGGUACCUGCAGAAAAAGCACCGGCUAACUACGUGCCAGCAGCCGCGGUAA
rnacentral:rRNA from 1 species